rnacentral:rRNA from 1 species
AUGGACCAUUCCAUCCCUUAUUCCCGUGGCUAUGCAUCAGAUUCGGAUGACGAAGGUCCCGACGAACAAGUUGAUGAGGAGGGGUUCACGGUGAAGGAGGCCGAAGCUUUCGAGAAGGUAUUCGGUCGGGAUCAUCGGACUACAUUGUUCAAGGAUGUUAGUCUCGCGGAUGAAUCCGUGGUAGAUGGUGGCCAAGGUAUAUCUCUUGGGGUUAGGCAAAUCUCUCAC